GAUGCUGAUGUAAGUCCAGUGAUUGGCGUUCAGGCUCCACGUUUGCCUUUUUGUGUGUGUUUUGGUUCGGAUGCUGAUGUAAGUCCAGUGAUUGGCAUUCAGGCUCCACGUUUGCCUUUUUGUGUGUGUUUUGGUUCGGAUGCUGAUGUAAGUCCAGUGAUUGGCAUUCAGGCUCCACGUUUGCCUUUGCCUGUGUUUGUUUGUGUGCGUGUCAGCCGAGCUACGAAUGCUCUGAUUCUCCUUCGUCCAAGGAGAUACGUAUGCAUAGGAUGCGA
rnacentral:lncRNA from 1 species